GACGAACGCUGGCGGCGGGCUUAACACAUGCAAGUCGAACGGAAAGGCCCUGCUUUUGUGGGGUGCUCGAGUGGCGAACGGGUGAGUAACACGUGAGUAACCUGCCCUUGACUUUGGGAUAACUUCAGGAAACUGGGGCUAAUACCGUAUAGGAGCUCCUGCUGCAUGGUGGGGGUGGGAAAUUUUCGGCGGUUGGGGAUGGACUCGCGGCUUAUCAGCUUGUUGGUGGGGUAGUGGCUUACCAAGGCUUUGACGGGUAGCCGGCCUGAGAGGGUGACCGGCCACAUUGGGACUGAGAGAGGGACCAGACUCCUACGGGAGGCAGCAGUGGGGAAUAUUGCACAAUGGGCGGAAGCCUGAUGCAGAAACGCCGCGUUCGGGAUGACGGCCUUCGGGUUGUAAACCGCUUUCGCCUGUGACGAAGCGUGAGUGACGGUAAUGGGUAAAGAAGCACCGGCUAACUACGUG
rnacentral:rRNA from 1 species